rnacentral:rRNA from 1 species
UACGGGGGGGGCAAGCGUUGUUCGGAAUUACUGGGCGUAAAGGGCUCGUAGGCGGCCAACUAAGUCAGACGUGAAAUCCCUCGGCUUAACCGGGGAACUGCGUCUGAUACUGGAUGGCUUGAGUUUGGGAGAGGGAUGCGGAAUUCCAGGUGUAGCGGUGAAAUGCGUAGAUAUCUGGAGGAACACCGGUGGCGAAGGCGGCAUCCUGGACCAAUUCUGACACUGAGGAGCGAAAGCCAGGGGGAGCAAACGGG